AGUUGUAUCCUGGCUCAGGACGAACGCUGGCGGCGUGCCUAAUACAUGCAAGUCGAGCGGAACCAAUGGAGCUUGCUCCAUUGGUUUAGCGGCGGACGGGUGAGUAACACGUGGGCAACCUGCCCUGCAGAUCGGGAUAACUCCGGGAAACCGGUGCUAAUACCGAAUAAUUUUUGGCCCCUCCUGGGGCCGAACGGAAAGACGGUUUCGGCUGUCACUGCAGGAUGGGCCCGCGGCGCAUUAGCUAGUUGGUGGGGUAAUGGCCUACCAAGGCGACGAUGCGUAGCCGACCUGAGAGGGUGAUCGGCCACACUGGGACUGAGACACGGCCCAGACUCCUACGGGAGGCAGCAGUAGGGAAUCUUCCGCAAUGGACGAAAGUCUGACGGAGCAACGCCGCGUGAGUGACGAAGGUUUUCGGAUCGUAAAACUCUGUUGUGAGGGAAGAACAAGUACCAACUAACUACUGGUACCUUGACGGUACCUCACCAGAAAGCCACGGCUAACUACGUGCCAGCAGCCGCGGUAAUACGUAGGUGGCAAGCGUUGUCCGGAAUUAUUGGGCGUAAAGCGCGCGCAGGCGGUCCCUUAAGUCUGAUGUGAAAGCCCACGGCUCAACCGUGGAGGGUCAUUGGAAACUGGGGGACUUGAGUGCAGAAGAGGAAAGUGGAAUUCCAUGUGUAGCGGUGAAAUGCGUAGAGAUGUGGAGGA
rnacentral:rRNA from 1 species